GAUGAACGCUGGCGGCGUGCCUAAUACAUGCAAGUCGAGCGAACGGACGAGAAGCUUGCUUUUCUGAUGUUAGCGGCGGACGGGUGAGUAACACGUGGAUAACCUACCUAUAAGACUGGGAUAACUUCGGGAAACCGGAGCUAAUACCGGAUAAUAUUUUGAACCGCAUGGUUCAAAAGUGAAAGACGGUCUUGCUGUCACUUAUAGAUGGAUCCGCGCUGCAUUAGCUAGUUGGUAAGGUAACGGCUUACCAAGGCAACGAUGCAUAGCCGACCUGAGAGGGUGAUCAGCCACACUGGAACUGAGACACGGUCCAGACUACUACGGGAGGCAGCAGUAGGGAAUCUUCCGCAAUGGGCGAAAGCCUGACGGAGCAACGCCGCGUGAGUGAUGAAGGUCUUCGGAUCGUAAAACUCUGUUAUUAGGGAAGAACAUAUGUGUAAGUAACUGUGCACAUCUUGACGGUACCUAAUCAGAAAGCCACGGCUAACUACGUG
rnacentral:rRNA from 1 species